AGGUUACCUGUAUUAAAUAAGAGAUUGCCAGGAACUUACUGGAAGAAGGAAGGAGUAUCCCUGUUUACAUGGAGGGAGCCACUGUGUCAGCAGUUUGCAGAUUUGAGUCUGUAGCGUGUUCCCACCACCUGAAGAUGAGUGGGAUAGUGUGAAACCAUUGGCAGGAGAAGAAUUACAUCAUCUGCAAACAUGGUGGUGGAGACUAAAGCAGAGCCAAAAGGGGAACAGGGACUGGACAUACAUGGUGGUACACAAACAGUGCUUCCUUAAAUGAACAUCUUUCAAGGAGCAAACUCAGAUUUUGUCACUACAGAUCCACCAGGAAGAUGAAGACUCUCUCACAGUUCACCGACUGGGCUUUCCCCCAGCCUGCAGCACCACAGCCGAUAAAAGACCCAGAUUAAUAUUAAUGCCCUCUUCAAUGUUAAUGGGCUGACUUUGCUGGCUUGGAAUACUUUGCGUCACACUUCAGAGGAUGAGUUCUGUCAGCAGUUUGAGUCACUGUAAAACCCCUUUCAAAAAGAUGAUU